GAUGAAGAACGUAGCGAAAUGCGAUAAGUAAUGUGAAUUGCAGAAUUCAGUGAAUCAUCGAAUCUUUGAACGCACAUUGCGCCCCCUGGUAUUCCGGGGGGCAUGCCUGUUCGAGCGUCAUUAUCACCCCUCAAGCUCGGCUUGUUGUUGGACGUCGGCGGCGGCCUUUAGUGGCGCACCGCCCGUCUCAAAGAUAAUGACGGCGUCUGUGAGGACACCUGUACACUGAGCUUUCGGGCACGUACUAGGCUUGAUACUUGCAGACCCGGUCUAUAGGGUUCGCCUCGGCGGCCCAACUUUUUUUACCAAGGUUGACCUCGGAUCAGGUAGGAAUACCCGCUGAACUUAAGCAUAUCAAUAAGCGGAGGA
rnacentral:misc_RNA from 1 species